rnacentral:sRNA from 1 species
UGCCUCUGCCCUUCCUGGGCGUUUCCUCCCUAAUGAACUGCCGCGUCUUCGGGCGCGGCUUUUUUUGGCCUCU